rnacentral:rRNA from 1 species
GAUGAACGCUGGCGGCGUGCCUAAUACAUGCAAGUCGAGCGAAUGGAUUGAGAGCUUGCUCUUAUGAAGUUAGCGGCGGACGGGUGAGUAACACGUGGGUAACCUGCCCAUAAGACUGGGAUAACUCCGGGACACCGGGGCUAAUACCGGAUAACAUUUUGAACCGCAUGGUUCGAAAUUGAAAAGCGGCUUCGGCUGUCACUUAUGGAUGGACCCGCGUCGCAUUAGCUAGUUGGUGAGGUAACGGCUCACCAAGGCAACGAUGCGUAGCCGACCGGAGAGGGUGAGCGGCCACACUGGGACUGAGACACGGCCCAGACUCCUACGGGAGGCAGCAGUAGGGAAUCUUCCGCAAUGGACGAAAGUCUGACGGAGCAACGCCGCGUGAGUGAUGAAGGCUUUCGGGUCGUAAAACUCUGUUGUUAGGGAAGAACAAGUGCUAGUUGAAUAAGCUGGCACCUUGACGGUACCUAACCAGAAAGCCACGGCUAACUACGUGCCAGCCGCCGCCGUAA